AACGCGAAGAACCUUACCUGGAUUUGACAUACUUCUGCACGGCCUGUGAAAGCAGGCUUCCUUCGAGGGUGAAGUACAGGUGCUGCAUGGCUGUCGUCAGUUCGUGCCGUGAGGUGUUUGGUUAAGUCCACCAACGAACGCAACCCCUUUGCGAUGUUGCCAGCGGGUCAUGCCGGGAACUCGUCGCAUACUGCUCGUUUACACGAGAGGAAGGUGGGGAUGACGUCAAGUCAGUAUGGCCCUUACAUCCAGGGCUGCACACGUGCUACAAUGGCCGGUACAGAGCGAAGCGAGACCGCAAGGUGGAGCGAAUCGCACAGAGCCGGCCUCAGUUCAGAUUGGGGUCUGCAACCCGACCCCAUGAAGUCGGAUUUGCUAGUAACGGCGUAUCAGCUACGACGCCGUGAAUGCGUUCCCGGGUCUUGUACACACGC
rnacentral:rRNA from 1 species